CCCAGCCAUCCUAGCUAAGCUCGAACACCACCAAUCUCAUCGACUUCAAUUAAAGAGCCAUCAGCAGGACAACGCAAAAAAAAAAAAGUUUUCGAACGAUCAAUCAUGAGGACCAGCUGCGUGUUCCUCCUGCUGGCCAUUGCCCCUGUGGUUUAACCAUCAGAUGUGUCCGUGAAGAUGACGUCGGCGAGCUGCAGACCAUACAUCUACAAGGGCAGCUGUAACUUGGUCGUGUGCAAAUGGCGUUGCAACGACAUACGGGGCAAGAACAGCUCCAGUGCUAAUUGUGUUAAUGACUUUGGAUGCAAAUGCAUAGUUUGUGGGUUUUCCGCUGCACAAGUUUAAACCAAGACGUGCAUUUUCCCAAGUAUGUAAACGUAAUAUCAUGGGGAAAUAUAUUGGUGUGGCUAUAGCUUCGAUUUACCGUUGUUGGGAAAAAAAUUGAAAGAGACUGUCUUGCUUUUAGAGUUACGUGCGGCAGCAGAAUAUUCAUACGAGCGACACACCGACAAAAGAGCUUAA